rnacentral:rRNA from 1 species
UACAGAGGGUGCGAGCGUUUAAUCGGAAUUACUGGGCGUAAAGCGUGCGCAGACGGUCAUGUAAGUCGGGUGUGAAAGCCCCGGGCUCAACCUGGGAAUUGCAUUCGAGACUGCAUGGCUAGGGUGCGGAAGAGGGAAGCGGAAUUUCCGGUGUAGCGGUGAAAUGCGUAGAUAUCGGAAGGAACACCAGUGGCGAAAGCGGCUUCCUGGUCCAGCACCGACGUCAGGCACGAAAGCGUGGGGAGCAAACAGG